AAUCCCUGGCUGGAGCCUGUCCCCAGGAAAAGAGACUGCUGACCGUGGGGAUUGCCUCAAUGCAGCAUCCUCGUGGGAGCUACCUCUUGGACAACCUGCAGUCCAUGUUCCAAGCUUCCUCAUAACGUGAGCUGGAGUAUAUCGUGGUGCUGGUCCACCUGUCAGGUCCUGACCCUGAAUGGCUUGGCCAAACAGCUGCCACUAUUUCAGGUCUCUUCACACCACAGAUUAGGGCCGGGAAGCUGCUGGUGAUCAAUCAUAGCUCCCCUCUCCCAGGAGAUCUGAGUGACGUUAAUCACUCAUCACUCUGUGAAGCCCUCUAUUCCAGACAGAAAGUAGAUCAUGCCCUCCUCAUGAACUUUGCUAGCAACCUCUCUGAUUACUUUCUUUUGUUGGAAGAUCAUAUUCAUUGCACCCCC
rnacentral:lncRNA from 1 species